AUUAGAUACCCUGGUGGUUCACGCCGUAAACGAUGUUGAUUAGCCGUUGGGAUCCUUGAGAUCUUAGUGGCGCAGCUAACGCAUUAAGUCGACCGCCUGGGGAGUACGGCCGCAAGGUUAAAACUCAAAUGAAUUGACGGGGGCCCGCACAAGCGGUGGAGCAUGUGGUUUAAUUCGAAGCAACGCGAAGAACCUUACCAGGCCUUGACAUGCAGAGAACUUUCCAGAGAUGGAUUG
rnacentral:rRNA from 1 species